UGGGUUGUGGCUCAGGGGUAGAGCAGUUGCCUCUCCUGCAUGAGACCCUGGGUUCAAUCCUCAGCACCACAU
rnacentral:tRNA from 1 species